CCAAUAGCGUAUAUUAAAGUUGUUGCAGUUAAAAAGCUCGUAGUUGAAUUUCGGGAUCAGUACGCUGGUCGUGCCCUUGGUAUGUACUGGUGUUACUGGUUCCUACCUUCUGACGAACCGUCAUGUCAUUAAUUUGGUGUGGCGGGAAAUCAGGACUGUUACUUUGAAAAAAUUAGAGUGUUUAAAGCAGGCUCGCGCUUGAAUACAUUAGCAUGGAAUAAUGAAAUAGGACGUUCGAUCCUAUUUUGUUGGUUUCUAGGAUUGACGUAAUGAUUAAUGGGGAUAGUUGGGGGCAUUAGUAUUCAAUUGUCAGAGGUGAAAUUCUUGGAUUUAUUGAAGACGAACUACUGCGAAAGCAUGUGCCAAGGAUGUUUUCAUUAAUCAAGAACGAAAGUUAGGGGAUCGAAGACGAUCAGAUACCGUCGUAGUCGUAACCAUAAACUAUGCCGACUAGGGAUCGGAUGAUGUUAUUUUUAAUGACUCAUUCGGCGCCUUACG
rnacentral:rRNA from 1 species